GUCCACACUGUAAACGAUGAUAACUAGGUGUCGGCUUUUCGGAGUCGGUGCCACAGCGAAAGCGUUAAGUUAUCCACCUGGGGGAGUACGCCGGCAACGGUGAAACUCAAAGGAAUUGACGGGGUCCGCACAAGCAGUGGAGCAUGUGGUUUAAUUCGAUGAUACGCGAGGAACCUUACCUAGGCUAGAAUGUGAAGGAAUGAUACAGAAAUGGAUCAGUCAGCAAUGACCUGAAACAAGGUGCUGCAUGGCUGUCGU
rnacentral:rRNA from 1 species